rnacentral:rRNA from 1 species
GUAGGGAAUAUUGGACAAUGGAGGCAACUCUGAUCCAGCCAUCCCGCGUGAAGGAUUAAGGUCCUAUGGAUUGUAAACUUCUUUUCUCUGGGAAUAAAAAGUGGGAUUCACUCCUGCCUUGAAGGUACCAGAGGAAUAAGCACCGGCUAACUCCGUGCCAGCAGCCGCGGUAAUACGGAGGGUGCAAGCGUUAUCCGGAUUCACUGGGUUUAAAGGGUGCGUAGGUGGCUUUGUAAGUCAGUGGUGAAAUGCCGGAGCUCAACUCCGGAACUGCCAUUGAUACUGCAUAGCUUGAAUCAAGUCGAGGUGGAUGGAAUAUUACAUGUAGCGGUGAAAUGCUUAGAUAUGUAAUAGAACACCGAUUGCGAAGGCAGUUCACUAGGCUUGUAUUGACACUGAGGCACGAAAGCGUGGGGAUCAAACAGGAUUAGAUACCCUAGUAGUCC